rnacentral:rRNA from 1 species
AUUGAACGCUGGCGGCAUGCCUUACACAUGCCAGUCGAACGGCAGCACGGGUGCUUGCACCUGGUGGCGAGUGGCGAACGGGUGAGUAAUACAUCGGAACAUGUCCUGUAGUGGGGGAUAGCCCGGCGAAAGCCGGAUUAAUACCGCAUACGAUCUACGGAUGAAGGCGGGGGACCUUCGGGCCUCGCGCUAUAGGGUUGGCCGAUGGCUGAUUAGCUAGUUGGUGGGGUAAAGGCCUACCAAGGCGACGAUCAGUAGAUGGUCUGAGAGGACGACCAGCCACACUGGGACUGAGACACGGCCCAGACUCCUACGGGAGGCAGCAGUGGGGAAUUUUGGACAAUGGGCGAAAGCCUGAUCCAGCAAUGCCGCGUGUGUGAAGAAGGCCUUCGGGUUGUAAAGCACUUUUGUCCGGAAAGAAAUCCUUGGCUCUAAUACAGUCGGGGGAUGACGGUACCGGAAGAAUAAGCACCGGCUAACUACGUG